rnacentral:rRNA from 1 species
GACAGGGGAUGCAAGUGUUAUCCGGAAUUAUUGGGCGUAAAGGGUUUGUAGGUUAAUAUUAUAAGUCUUUUGUUAAAGAUAUGAGCUUAACUCAUAAUAUGCGAAAGAAACUAUAUAUUUAGAGUAUGAAUAAAGGGUAAAAGGAAUUUACAGUGUAACAGUGAAAUGUUGACAUAUUGUAAGGAACAUCGAGAGCGAAGGCAUUUUACUAGAUCAUUUACUGACACUGAUAGACGAAAGCUAGGGGAACAAACAGG